rnacentral:rRNA from 1 species
GACGAACGCUGGCGGCGUGCUUAACACAUGCAAGUCGAACGGUAAGGCCCUUCGGGGUACACGAGUGGCGAACGGGUGAGUAACACGUGGGUGAUCUGCCCUGCACUUCGGGAUAAGCCUGGGAAACUGGGUCUAAUACCGGAUAGGACCACUGCCUGCAUGGGUGGUGGUGGAAAGCUUUUGCGGUGUGGGAUGGGCCCGCGGCCUAUAAGCUUGUUGGUGGGGGGAGGGCCAACCAAGGCGACGACGGGUAGCCGGCCGGGGAGGGUGACCGGCCACACUGGAACUGAGAUACGGCCCAGACUCCUACGGGAGGCAGCAGUGGGAAUAUUGCACAAUGGGCGCAAGCCUGAUGCAGCGACGCCGCGUGAGGGAUGACGGCCUUCGGGUUGUAAACCUCUUUCAGCACCGACGAAGCGCAAGUGACGGUAGGUGCAGAAGAAGGACCGGCCAACUACGUGCCAGCAGCCGCCGUAA